rnacentral:rRNA from 1 species
GCAGCGCCCUAAUUUUGUUGUUGGGGGAAUGGUGCCAUUCUCCCCCGCCCGGGAAACAAUUGGAUAUUUUUCCCCAAGGGGGAAAACCUAAGGCGCAAACGCCCCCGGACGGGUCGAAGGCCCUUGGGCUGUCAACCUCUUUCUCAAGGAAGACGAUAGACGGUACUUGAGGAAUAAGCCACGGCUAAUUCCGUGCCAGCAGCCGCGGUAAUACGGGAGUGGCAAGCGUUAUCCGGAAUUAUUGGGCGUAAAGCGUCCGCAGGCGGCCUUUCAAGUCUGCUGUUAAAGCGUGGAGCUUAACUCCAUUAUGGCAGUGGAAACUGAUUGGCUUGAGUAUGGUAGGGGCAGAGGGAAUUCCCGGUGUAGCGGUGAAAUGCGUAGAUAUCGGGAAGAACACCAGUGGCGAAGGCGCUCUGCUGGGCCAUUACUGACGCUCAUGGACGAAAGCCAGGGGAGCGAAAGGGAUUAGAUACCCCUGUAGUCCUGGCCGU